GACGAACGCUGGCGGCGUGCUUAACACAUGCAAGUCGAACGAUGAACCCGGAGCUUGCUCCGGUGGAUUAGUGGCGAACGGGUGAGUAACACGUGAGUAACCUGCCCUUGACUCUGGGAUAACUGCGGGAAACUGUAGCUAAUACCGGAUACGACCCUCGGCGGCAUCGCCAGGGGGUGGAAAGAUUUUCGGUCAAGGAUGGACUCGCGGCCUAUCAGCUAGUUGGUGAGGUAACGGCUCACCAAGGCGACGACGGGUAGCCGGCCUGAGAGGGUGACCGCGCACACUGGGACUGAGACACGGCCCAGACUCCUACGGGAGGCAGCAGUGGGGAAUAUUGCACAAUGGGCGCAAGCCUGAUGCAGCAACGCCGCGUGAGGGAUGACGGCCUUCGGGUUGUAAACCUCUUUUAGUAGGGAAGAAGCGAAAGUGACGGUACCUGCAGAAAAAGCACCGGCUAACUACGUGCCAGCAGCCGCGGUAA
rnacentral:rRNA from 1 species